AUUGAACGCUGGCGGCAGGCCUAACACAUGCAAGUCGAGCGAGCGGCGGACGGGUGAGUAAUGUCUGGGAAACUGCCUGAUGGAGGGGGAUAACUACUGGAAACGGUAGCUAAUACCGCAUACCAUCAGAUGUGCCCAGAUGGGAUUAGCUAGUAGGUGGGGUAACGGCUCACCUAGGCGACGAUCCCUAGCUGGUCUGAGAGGAUGCCCAGGCAAACUGGAACAGAGACGCGGUGCCGACUCCUACGGGAGGCAGCAGUGGAGAAUAUUGAACAAUGGGCGAAAGCCUGAUGCGGCCAUGCCGCGUGUGUGAAGAAGGCCUGCGGGUUGUAGAGCACUUUCAGCGGGGGGGCAUUACCCGCAGAAGAAGCACCGGCUAACUCCGUGCCAGCAGCCGCGGUAAUUC
rnacentral:rRNA from 1 species